AGCGAACGCUGGCGGCAGGCUUAACACAUGCAAGUCGAGCGGGCACUUCGGUGUCAGUGGCAGACGGGUGAGUAACACGUGGGAACGUACCCUUUGGUUCGGAAUAACGCUGGGAAACUAGCGCUAAUACCGGAUACGCCCUUUUGGGGAAAGGCUUGCUGCCGAAGGAUCGGCCCGCGUCUGAUUAGCUAGUUGGUGGGGUAAUGGCCUACCAAGGCGACGAUCAGUAGCUGGUCUGAGAGGAUGAUCAGCCACACUGGGACUGAGACACGGCCCAGACUCCUACGGGAGGCAGCAGUGGGGAAUAUUGGACAAUGGGCGCAAGCCUGAUCCAGCCAUGCCGCGUGAGUGAUGAAGGCCUUAGGGUUGUAAAGCUCUUUUGUCCGGGACGAUAAUGACGGUACCGGAAGAAUAAGCCCCGGCUAACUUCGUG
rnacentral:rRNA from 1 species